CACGUAGGGUGCAAGCGUUGCUCGGAAUCAUUGGGCGUAAAGCGCACGUAGGCGGUCUCGAAAGUCAGAUGUGAAAUCCCUCGGCUUAACCAAGGAAGUGCAUUUGAAACUUCGAGACUUGAAUACUGGAGAGGGUCGCAGAAUUCUCGGUGUAGAGGUGAAAUUCGUAGAUAUCGGGAGGAAUACCAGUGGCGAAGGCGGCGACCUGGUCAGAUAUUGACGCUGAGGUGCGAAAGCGUGGGGAGCAAACAGG
rnacentral:rRNA from 1 species